rnacentral:SRP_RNA from 1 species
GCUGGGCAUGGUGGUGCUUGCUCAUAGUCCUAGCUUCACAGGAGGCUGAGGUGAGCGGGUGGCUUGAGUCCAGGAGUUCUGGGCUGCAGUGUGCUAUGCCAGUUGAGUGUCUGCACUAAGUUCAGAUCAAUAUGGUGACCUCCUGGAGUGGGGACCACCUGGUUGCCUAAGGAGGAGUGAACGGUCCCAGGUGGGAAACGGAGCAGGUCAAAACUCCUGUGACCACAAUAUUAUGGAAAUCUUUUACUUCUUUCAGAGUCUAUCAAACCUGAUCAUGUUAAUUAUAUUUUAAAUAU